rnacentral:RNase_P_RNA from 1 species
CGAGAAGAGGGGGUUAUCGCUACAAGUUUACUCCAUUACUGAAAUUUUGUAAGUACAAACAAAGUUAAAUUUUGCAACAAUAUCUUCACAAAAUUGUUACAAAAGAGGUCAUUGUUUAAAUCUUGUAGAGGAAAGUCCGGACACCAAAUGGCAGCGUAGCGGGUAACGCCCGUCCACCGCGAGGUGAGGACAAGUGCAACAGAAAGCAAGUACGAAGGGCCUUGGCCCUUGCAGUAGUGAAACCAGGUAAACUCUACGUGGUGCAAGCCCAAAUAGGCUUACGUUUAAGGCGGCCAGCUUAAGUAGGCGGGUAGGGUGCUUGAGGUCUUGAGUAAUUAAGGCCCUAGAUGAAUGGUAACCUAAAACAGGAUCCGGCUUAUCCCUCUUCUCGGCUU